GCCGCGUCAGUGCUCAAGGUUUUCGGAUCGUCAAGCUCUGUUGUUACGGAAGAACAAGUACCGUUCGAAUACGGCGGUACCUUCACGGUACCUUACCAGAAAGCCACGGCAAACUACGUGCCAGCAGCCGCGGUAAUACGUCGGUGGCAAGCGUUGUCCGGAAUUAUUGGGCGUAAAGGGCUCGCAGGCGGUUUCUUCAGUCUCAUGAGAAAGCCCCCGGCUCAACCGGGGAGGGUCAUUGGAAACUGGGGAACUAGAGUGCAGAAGAGGAGAGUGGAAUUCCACGUGUAUCGGAGAAAUGCGUCGAGAUGUGGAGGAACACCAGUGGCGAAGGCGACUCUCUGGUCUGUUACUGCCGCUGAGGAGCGAAAGCGUGGGGAGCGAACAGGAUUUCAUACCCUGGUACUCCACGCCGUCAACGAAGAGUGCUCAGUGUUAUGGGGUUUCCGCCCCUUCGUGCUGCAGCUCACGCAUUCAGCACUC
rnacentral:rRNA from 1 species